UGAGUUGAUUCAGAAGGUGAUAUAUGAUGCAAGUGAUGCAGAUGGACGAACAUGGAUUGGAGGCUCUGAUGCCCAACAGAACACCUGAGGAUUAUCCUGCUGGGAAAAUCUGGAAGUGGGAAAAGCAGCUUGGCCAACACCAUAUUUGGAGAGACGGUGUUUGAAAUAGUGGUGCCGAAACCUAGGAGGCGGCACGGCGGGCCUACAACCGAGCCGGAGGAGAGAGGAUAGGGCCGAGAUGGCGGCCGCACAGCGGGAGCAGGCGGCGGAGGUGAGCCAGCAACGGGAAGAGCU